rnacentral:rRNA from 1 species
AGAGUUUGAUCCUGGCUCAGGACGAACGCUGGCGGCGUGCCUAAUACAUGCAAGUAGAACGCUGAAGAGAGGAGCUUGCUCUUCUUGGAUGAGUUGCGAACGGGUGAGUAACGCGUAGGUAACCUGCCUUGUAGCGGGGGAUAACUAUUGGAAACGAUAGCUAAUACCGCAUAACAAUGGAUGACACAUGUCAUUUAUUUGAAAGGGGCAAUUGCUCCACUACAAGAUGGACCUGCGUUGUAUUAGCUAGUAGGUGAGGUAAUGGCUCACCUAGGCGACGAUACAUAGCCGACCUGAGAGGGUGAUCGGCCACACUGGGACUGAGACACGGCCCAGACUCCUACGGGAGGCAGCAGUAGGGAAUCUUCGGCAAUGGGGGCAACCCUGACCGAGCAACGCCGCGUGAGUGAAGAAGGUUUUCGGAUCGUAAAGCUCUGUUGUAAGUCAAGAACGGGUGUGAGAGUGGAAAGUUCACACUGUGACGGUAGCUUACCAGAAAGGGACGGCUAACUACGUGCCAGCAGCCGCGGUAAUACGUAGGUCCCGAGCGUUGUCCGAAUUUAUUGGGCGUAAAGCGAGCGCAGGCGGUUUGAUAAGUCUGAAGUUAAAGGCUGUGGCUCAACCAUAGUUCGCUUUGGAAACUGUCAAACUUGAGUGCAGAAGGGGAGAGUGGAAUUCCAUGUGUAGCGGUGAAAUGCGUAGAUAUAUGGAGGAACACCGGUGGCGAAAGCGGCUCUCUGGUCUGUAACUGACGCUGAGGCUCGAAAGCGUGGGGAGCGAACAGGAUUAGAUACCCUGGUAGUCCACGCCGUAAACGAUGAGUGCUAGGUGUUGGAUCCUUUCCGGGACUCAGUGCCGCAGCUAACGCAUUAAGCACUCCGCCUGGGGAGUACGACCGCAAGGUUGAAACUCAAAGGAAUUGACGGGGGCCCGCACAAGCGGUGGAGCAUGUGGUUUAAUUCGAAGCAACGCGAAGAACCUUACCAGGUCUUGACAUCCCGAUGCUAUUUCUAGAGAUAGAAAGUUACUUCGGUACAUCGGUGACAGGUGGUGCAUGGUUGUCGUCAGCUCGUGUCGUGAGAUGUUGGGUUAAGUCCCGCAACGAGCGCAACCCCUAUUGUUAGUUGCCAUCAUUCAGUUGGGCACUCUAGCGAGACUGCCGGUAAUAAACCGGAGGAAGGUGGGGAUGACGUCAAAUCAUCAUGCCCCUUAUGACCUGGGCUACACACGUGCUACAAUGGUUGGUACAACGAGUUGCGAGUCGGUGACGGCGAGCUAAUCUCUUAAAGCCAAUCUCAGUUCGGAUUGUAGGCUGCAACUCGCCUACAUGAAGUCGGAAUCGCUAGUAAUCGCGGAUCAGCACGCCGCGGUGAAUACGUUCCCGGGCCUUGUACACACCGCCCGUCACACCACGAGAGUUUGUAACACCCGAAGUCGGUGAGGUAACCUUUUGGAGCCAGCCGCCUAAGGUGGGACAGAUGAUUGGGGUGAAGUCGUAACAAGGUA